rnacentral:lncRNA from 1 species
UGACAACUUGCUCACCUGCAUCAGUCGAUGGCAUGUAAAGGUACCCCAAAGCACUUGGCUCCAAUCUUCCUCAAGGUCAUGAUGGCAUUUCCUGGCUCAGAGAGGACCCUAGAACACUGCAGGAUAAGUGCUGUUUCCUGCACUGGCACACCCAACACUUUCUGCCAUGCCCCCAAGCCCAAGCAGGAUUUGUCUUUCAGAUGAACAAAAAGUGUGUGGGCAGGCACCCAGAGCUGUAUUUGUGUUGCCAGGGGGAGGAGAGAACACAGGGACUUCUCAGGACAAAAGAGGAGUGCCAUUACAGUGGGAGCUGAGAGAAGGGCCGGAACAGGGUCAUUCCCACAACCUGUGCUGAUGGGGGAGGCUCCUUCACCCUGUCCUACAAAGCCUUUCAUGCUGAAAGAUCAAAUGUAAACCUUUCUUAUGUCUUAUGCUGUACCCAAAGAAAUAGUACAAAGGACCCAUACAUUUAGGUUUCAAAUAACCAUUUAUUUUUUGGUAAUGCACAGAGCCCAGCUGCAUACAAA